rnacentral:lncRNA from 1 species
CUUUUCCCUCUCCAAUGAUUCUCUUUGCAGAAUGUGCACUGGUUGGCUUCCUGUUCUCUAGGGUCCUCUCAAUCUCCCUGAUUGGCAGAUUGGGUGACUCACCAGAGUUUCAGGGCCCAGAGAGGGGUCCUGUCAUUCUCUGGAUCCUGGCCAACUUUAGAGGGUAAGGGACAAAAUGUUGGCUGCUUUUUCCUUGGUCCUUUUACAUCCUUGUCUUUGGUCUCCAAAGUUUUUGGUUUUAAACAUCCACAGGCCAGUUUCACCAGCCUUAAAGUGGGAGUAACAGGUUAUAACUUCAAUAUCUAUAAUUUACAGAUUCCCCUUUGAUUUAAUUGGGGUAAGUAUUAGUACUGCAAGUCAACAUUAUAUACUAUCUGUCCUUUAGGUGAUAGCUUAUUAUUUCAAAUUAACUCAAGUUGUUUUAUUAGAAGCAGUACCCUGUAUUUGCAGGAGGUUUAUAUGGGAGGUGAACAAGGCCAUUCUGUAUCAAGGUACUUUCUCUCAGCUCUUUGAAUAUAUCAUCUUGCUUCUGUUUGUUGCUCAAAUCACCUUAUUAUUAAAGGUAAACUCUUUUUCCUUGAGUUGCUUAAGGGUUUUUUUUUCCUUCAGGUGACCCCUGUCCUGUUCUGAAUCUCCCUCAGGAGUGCUACCUUGGCAUUUCUAUUUCUCCUACAUUGAAGACUCCAAAGAUUUGACCAAUAAAUUGCCAAAGUUCUUCAACAGGUAGUGGGAGGGCUGGAC